CUGGGUGCGGGCUGCGGUCGGCCGAGAAGGGGACACAGACGAUCGCUUUAGAGAACAGCCUUCCGGGGAAGCGCCAAGGCUCUGACCCACUGCGGAAGAGGAAGGAGAGCUGGGUCUCGGGCGCCGGAGGGCGGUGACAGUCUGGUCGCCCUCCCGAGCGCCGCGGGUCAGGGUGGAGCCUGCAGCCCCGAGCCGCUACAGCGUUUAGCAUGCAAAUCCAGUCCCCGCUCCGCCUCUCCCCCCACCCCCAGCCCUCCCCGCCCCGGGAGCGAGCUCAGCGGCUCGGCAGCCGCCCACGCCUCCUGCGCGCCGCGGCGCCCGAGCGGGCGGCUCUACUUAAGCGGCGCGCGGGCCGCGACCCGCCACUCGCCUGGAGCGCGCGGGCGAGGCGGGCGCAGCGCACCGGGGCUCCCGUGGGCUCACAGCUGCGCGCUCGCACGGCGCGGCUCUCGGUGGCGGCGGCGGCCGCCUGAGCG